rnacentral:rRNA from 1 species
CCUACGGGUGGCAGCAGUGAGGAAUAUUGGUCAAUGGACGCAAGUCUGAACCAGCCAUGCCGCGUGCAGGAAGACUGCUCUAUGAGUUGUAAACUGCUUUUGUACGAGGGUAAACUCAGAUACGCGUACCUGUCUGAAAGUAUCUUACGAAUAAGGAUCGGCUAACUCCGUGCCAGCAGCCGCGGUAAUACGGAGGAUUCAAGCGUUAUCCGGAUUUAUUGGGUUUAAAGGGUGCGUAGGCGGUCGGAUAAGUUAGAUGUGAAAUCCCGAGGCUCAACUUCGGAAUUGCCUCUGAUACUGGUAGGCUAGAGAGUAGUUGCGGUAGGCGGAAUGUAUGGUGUAGCGGUGAAAUGCUUAGAGAUCAUACAGAACACCGAUUGCGAAGGCAGCUUACCAAGCUACUUCUGACGUUGAGGCACGAAAGCGUGGGGAGCAAACAGGAUUAGAUACCCUUGUAGUC